ensembl:lncRNA
CCAGGGUCGUAAAGCAUAGCGCCACCAGCUAACUUCUGAUUGGUUCCUUGUCACGAGACAGGCAUCUGACUUUCUAGUUUCUAGGACAAGGUCAUAGAAGCACAUGUUUGGCUGUUAUGGCUGCUGAAAGGGAAGCUGGUUCCUUCACUGUUAUAUUUUUUUCUUUUGGUUUUUCAAGACAGAGUUUCUCUGUGUAGUCUUAACUGUCCAAGAACUCAUUCUGUAGACCAGGCUGGCCUUGAACUCACAGAGAUCUGCCUGCCUUUGCCUCCCGAGUGCUGGGAUUAUAGGGUCAAACUCUGUAUGUAGCUGAUGCUGGCUGACUGUAAACCCACGAUCCUCCAGCCCACUCUCUGGAUUGCUGGGAUUAUAGUUCUGAGCUGAUAUGUGUACUUCAUACUGUUACACUGAUCCCUGGGAUUUAACAGGGACUGGGGACUUUCGGAUUACCACAGGCCAGAUGGAGAAGACGUUCAAUGCCAGGUUGUAUCCGGGAGCAAGCAGAAAUGUGGGAGAAACUCUGGAGUAAAACAACACCCAGGCCGCUUUUUAUUUUGUUUUUAGAAGGAAGAGCCAGGUAGCCACAGGCAAAGAGGCUACAGGAAAUGUCAGCCCCAUUUGCCCAGGAGUGUGCCAGGUGGGCAAGAGCCGCCAGGAAGAGAGAGGUUUGGCAGGGACAUGGUAAAUUGGGGAGGGGGAACAGAGCAGUAAAUAAAAGUCAGCUCAGGUUUGGAGACUGAGAGCCAUCAAGGGAGGGAGGGAGGGAGGGAGGAAGGGAGGGAGGGAGAGAGAGAGAGAGAGAGAGAGAGAGACCGAGACCUGCCUGUGCAUUUGGGGUUUAGGAAAACUCAUUUAGUUCUGUUGUUGCCAGGAUCCCUGAGUCACACCAGAGUAAUAUUUCCCAGGUAGUGAGAUUAAUGCAGUUUACCCAGACAGGUUGCUGAAGCAGCAGGACAUGGAACUGGAGGUCCCUGAGGGGCAGCCUCCCAGCCUCCCUCCCUCCCUCCUUCCCUCCCUGGGAGCCUCAGGGAGGGACUCAGGUGCCCUCCCUCAGAGGGAAUGAUACUCCAGCCACAGUAACCUAGUGUCUGUGUCCAAUUUAAAUUCUGCAGGCGGCUGGAUGUUUGAAAAGUAGGUUCCUAGUCCCUGCACUGAUUGCAACAUAUAUUUGGGCCACUGGGCUGAGGCUGAGACACAUCAGUGAGGACCCUGUUCCUCAGCCUGCCCAAGGUUAUCACCUGAGGAUGCCAACUGUAUAGGAAUCAGGUGUGCCUGAGGAUGCCUCACUUGGGUCUUCUGGAGUAUUGCUUUCUUUUCCUUUUUCUUUUUGAGGCAGGGUCUCUCUACAUCCUGGACCUUCUGAAACAUUCAGUGACAAGCUGUGAAUUCCUGGGCUGGUUGGAAUUUUUUGGGGUGAUAAGCAGCACUUCAGAUCUUUUAAAUCUCUCACCUGCCAUUUCAAGUUUAAAAAAAUUACUGUGUGUAUGGUGUUGGGAAGCGUACGUACACACGGGUUGAGGUAAAAGGAAACUUUGUGGGGUCAAUUAUCUCCAUCCACUUUUACCUGAGUUCCUGGGAUCGAACUCAGACAGUCAGACUUGCUAGGCAACCACCUUUCCUUGCUGAGCCAUCUCACAAACCCUUUCUUUGCCAUGUUUCAAGGAGAGCUCUUCCAAGUUCUUUUAAAAAUCCUGCUGAAGCAAGCCGAUGGUGGCGAGUUCCAGGACUGUCUGGGCUGUUACACAGAGAAACCCUGUCUCGAAAAGCAAACAAUUCUGUUGAUACUUCAGUUGGGAUUAUUACACUGGCUUUGCAAGCUUAUGAGGAGUUGCCACAUUUACAAUGUUUCCUCUUACCCGGGGAAGGGCAAUUUCUAAUUCAAUCUGAGCUGCUGUGACGUUUUGCAGCCUAACUUUGGAGUUUCCUACCUCUGGGGGAGGAUUUUGGCAAGUUUAGCACAAGAUUUGCUAAACCUCCCAAGGACGGCUGGAUAGUGAGCCGCCCCGGCAGAUCCUGAGGGCCGUGCAUGGGCUCCACUCCGCAAGAGCUCACCACCCUCCCCAAGCCAGUGGUUUCCAGGAAACAGGGAGUGAAAAGUCAGGCUGAGGGGACCCAGGGCUCACCCUAGCCAGGUGCAGCUGGUCUGAGAGCUCUCCUGGGCCCUCUCACAACUUGGCUGGCACGCAGUUCUUUCUUGGUCCAGCCUUAGGGCGUGCUUACUCCCCGGGCUCCUCCCACAGGCCACUGUCCCAACCAACGCAGGUCCCACCACGACCCUGGGCCGGACCUUGGACGCUCUCCAGCACCGCCUACAAUCCGUUCCCAGGGCUUUGUUUCCAGAAGCCCCUUCUCCCUCCGCCUGCUCUCCGUAGCUCCGCCCACGCCUCGCUCCUGGGUCUCGGCCCCGCCUCUAGCACCGCCCACACCCCUGGGAACUCUUCCCAGACUCCGCCCACAGCCCCAGUCCGGGCCCCGUCACGCUAAGCCCCGC